UGGGGAAUAUUGCACAAUGGGCGCAAGCCUGAUGCAGCCAUGCCGCGUGUGUGAAGAAGGCCUUCGGGUUGUAAAGCACUUUCAGCGGGGAGGAAGGCGUUAAGGUUAAUAACCUUGACGAUUGACGUUACCCGCAGAAGAAGCACCGGCUAACUCCGUGCCAGCAGCCGCGGUAAUACGGAGGGUGCAAGCGUUAAUCGGAAUUACUGGGCGUAAAGCGCACGCAGGCGGUCUGUCAAGUCGGAUGUGAAAUCCCCGGGCUCAACCUGGGAACUGCAUUCGAAACUGGCAGGCUAGAGUCUUGUAGAGGGGGGUAGAAUUCCAGGUGUAGCGGUGAAAUGCGUAGAGAUCUGGAGGAAUACCGGUGGCGAAGGCGGCCCCCUGGACAAAGACUGACGCUCAGGUGCGAAAGCGUGGGGAGCAAACAGG
rnacentral:rRNA from 1 species